rnacentral:rRNA from 1 species
AGAAAAGGCGUCCACUAACACUGGGCGUUCUUGACGGUACCGGCGGAAUAAGCACCGGCUAACUACGUGCCAGCAGCCGCGGUAAUACGUAGGGUGCGAGCGUUAAUCGGAAUUACUGGGCGUAAAGCGUGCGCAGGCGGUUCGUUAAGUUUGCGGUGAAAGCCCCGGGCUCAACCUGGGAAUGGCCGUGGAAACUGGCGGGCUGGAGUGCGGCAGAGGGGGUGGAAUUCCGCGUGUAGCAGUGAAAUGCGUAGAGAUGCGGAGGAACACCGAUGGCGAAGGCAGCCCCCUGGGCCGACACUGACGCUCAGGCACGAAAGCGUGGGGAGCAAACAGGAUUAGAUACCCUGGUAGUCCACGCCCUAAACGAUGCUCACUAGGUGUUGGGGAAGCGAUUCCUUGGUACCGUAGCUAACGCGUGAAGUGAGCCGCCUGGGGAGUACGGCCGCAAGGUUAAAAACUCAAAGGAAUUGACGGGGAC